rnacentral:rRNA from 1 species
UACGUAGGGUGCAAGCGUUGUCCGGAAUUAUUGGGCGUAAAGAGCUCGUAGGCGGUCUGUCGCGUCUGCUGUGAAAACUCAGGGCUUAACCCUGAGCUUGCAGUGGGUACGGGCAGACUAGAGUGCGGUAGGGGAGACUGGAAUUCCUGGUGUAGCGGUGAAAUGCGCAGAUAUCAGGAGGAACACCGGUGGCGAAGGCGGGUCUCUGGGCCGUAACUGACGCUGAGGCGCGACAGCGUGGGGAGCAAACAGG